CGCGAAGGAUCAUUAUAGAUUCUCUUUGGCUGUGCGCCGCGAGGCCGCACGCCGAAAUCCAAUCACACACACCCGUGCACUUCGGUCGUGGUAAAACGCGGCCGCCUUCACAUUUAACAAGUAAAACCCGAAUGUAACAAACCAUAAAAUAAUACAACUUUUAACAACGGAUCUCUUGGCUCUCGCAUCGAUGAAGAACGCAGCGAAAUGCGAUACGUAAUGUGAAUUGCAGAAUUCAGUGAAUCAUCGAAUCUUUGAACGCACCUUGCGCCCCAUGGUAUUCCGUGGGGCAUGCCUGUUUGAGUGUCACGUAAACCCUCAUCCGUGCGAUCUUACCGUCGCACGAAUGGACUUGAGUGUUGCCGUAAUCGGCUCGCUCUGAAAUGCAUUAGCUUUGCGUCUAUUAGCCGCGCUCCGGCCGUGGUGUGAUAAUUAUCUUCACCCUAGCC
rnacentral:rRNA from 1 species